AUGAACCCUAAAAAGUUCUUUAAACA
rnacentral:tRNA from 1 species